GACGAACGCUGGCGGCGUGCUUAACACAUGCAAGUCGAACGAAGUGGCGAACGGGUGAGUAAAGCGUAAUCAACCUGCCCUUCAGAGGGGGAAAACAGUUGGAAACGACUGCUAAUACCGCAUACGGAAGGAGGGGAUUGCGGGUGAUUUGCUAGCUGGAGGGGCAACGGCCCACCAAGGCGAUGGUCAGUAGCCGGUCUGAGAGGGUGAACGGCCACAUUGGGAAUGAGCACAGGCCCAGACCCCUACGGGAGGCAGCAGUGGGGAAUCUUCCGCAAUGGACGAAAGUCUGACGGAGCAACGCCGCGUGAGUGAUGACGGCCUUCGGGUUGUAAAGCUCUGUUAAUCGGGACGCGGUACCGGAAUAGAAAGCCACGGCUAACUACGUGCCAGCAGCCGCGGUAAUAC
rnacentral:rRNA from 1 species